AAAGACCCAGAAGCCUUUGAGCGAGAGGCAGCUGGUGCCCCGCGAAGGUGUCAGGGCCGAAGCAUGGCUGCUGCUGUCCGCCCGCGACGGGCCCCGACGGGGACGCCCAUUGGAAAGGGGCCGGACAGGAGGCGUGGAGGCGGACGAGGACCCCUAGGUACCCGCCAGCCCUGUACCAUCGUGGAGCGGAGUGGACCGGAAAGGACGAGACCCUGCCCAGGGCGGCGCCCAAGAGGGCGUCGGAUGGAGGCGUCUCCUCCGGGCCGAGUCGCACCGCCGCCCUUAAACGUAGUUGGGCGAUGAACGGCGAGAACUCUGACAGUUCCUCCGAUUCAGAUGCCGACGAGCUCCCGCGGAAAGCAAAGCGGGAGAACCGUGGCGUCCUCUCUCCCGUUCCGUUGGUCCCGCGCAGUCAGAAGCAGCCAGCUCGGGCCGGGGGGAGGGCCAGCGACGACUGGGCUAGUGCAGUGCUGACGGACGAUAGCCAGGACGAGUUGGCCAGACAGUUCGAGAAGCUGGAAAUCAAGGAGAGCGCCGCCGAGAGCGGGCGGGCGGAGACCCAGAAUCGUUUGCUAGCCAGAAAACUCCCGAGAGUGCAGGAGGCAGAGAAAGGAGACCACGAGCCGGCUGAAGGCGUCUGGGGAGCCUCCCCCAUCGCAAGGACAGAAGAGAAUAAAGGAAAAUGCCAUCCCCAGCGCAAAUGCCUCGUCGAAGGAAAACCGGAAGAGAGACAAGAGAUAAAUUACAAAAGAUACUACGAUAUUCCUGAGGCGGGUUCGGAGGAAGUAGUGGCAAGGGAAAUUUCCCACAGGAUGGAAGUGGAAGAAAAACACCCAGAGAAGUCUAUCUGAGUGUCUUGAGAAACACUAAGAGCCUAACUGCUGAACAAAUUGAGGAAAUUUUCUGUGAGGAACAAAAAUGCAAAAAUAAACAUCCAAAGGAUGCUGAGAAGAGAAGCCUACAAGUCUGGAGGGGAAAAUUGAAGUAUCGUAAUUUUAAAGAAGAUUGCAGUCCUUCUAGCAUGGCAUCGGCCCCUCCAGAAGAUUCAAAGGAAGAAUGCAAUGAAACUAAGUUAGGUUCAGAGGAAGCAGUCAAGGUUGUUCCUCCUCACGACUGUGAGCUUUCUUAAUGGUACCCUGAAUCUGUUUUUUUAAACAAAAAUUGUUUAAAAACCUUAGAGUUAUUCUGUUGUUUGAUUAGGACUAUGUUGUUGAUUUUUGUGUGCAACAUAUUAAAGAAAGGUUCUGAGCUAGGGAAGGCAUCGGUUCCUUUCAUAUUUGGGGAAUUAAUGUAAUAGAGUCUAAUAUGAUGGGUUUAGGGUCUUCUUUUUAUUUCCUCUAAUUUAAAUUUUAAAUUUAAUGUUGAUACGAAACAACUUAAUAGCCACUGAGUAGCCACUGAAUUAAACAGUCGUUGAAGGGUGGUAUGGGCAUUUCUGGUUUCAAUUUUGUUUGGGUCAAUUCUUUUUCUUUAGAAGAAUAUGUAGUCAAGGCUCUUUAUAAGAUGGGACGUGACUUGGGUUAUUCACUUGGUCACUAGUAUCUCUUGAUCUGUAUGAGCUCUUUUAAAGAACAGUCCCAUCCAAACCAAUCCUACUCUGUACAUGAUUCUUUUGGGGCUAUUCCUGGAAAAGAGACCCAAUUCUGCAGCUGAAGCUGAACUGUUAGCUUAUUUUUUCAGUUCUGGGACUGCAGAGAACCGUGACGUCUAGUUGUUACCUCUCAAUAUACAAUAAUUUUCACCAGUCUAAUAAUCUUCUUCUUAGUCUUAACCAUGAGGAGUGAGUGAGGGACACAUGAUUUACAAAGAGGUUUCAACCUAAAACCUUAAUUUGGUCCAAACUGAUUGCCUUCCAAACACAAAAUCUGAUCUGUCUGAUGUGUGGAAACAAAAAUAAGGUUUGGCAAUUUACUUGGCUUUCUACCUUCUUUUGAGUAUCUUUACAAAAAAUCCAACUUUUCCCUAAAAUCUCAAAAUGCAUUUUUUCUUAAAGAAUAACAACACGGGUGGUUCAUAUAGCAGAAAUGUUUCCAGAAUUAAUGGGAAAGAUUACAAAUAAUUAUUUUGAGAAUGGAAACCAAAAAGCCAAAUUAUGCAUAGCUACCCCAGAGUUCACAUGUGCAACAUUUUUAUAGUUUUAAAAUGGGAAAUAUGAGCAUUAAGCAAUUAUAUGGUGUGAAAGGAGAAGGCGGAGGUUAUCAGACAGUUCAGUAUGUGAAAAAUCUCCAUCUCCCAAUGAGAAAUGGCAAAGCUUUCAAUCGGUAUUAAAUUAGUAAGAAUGUGUAACUGAAUGCACCUAAACAAAUGCCAUCUUGUGGAAAAAGGAAAGGGGCUGGGCCCAGAGAUGGCCAGUAUCUGGCAGCUAUGAUGCCACCCCCAGGUCCAGGUCUGAACUUUGGGGUAGCUAUGAAAUUUCUUAGAGAGCAACAGCAUAUCGGCCUUGAGGAAGAGGAAGCAUGCUCUUUGCCACACUGUUGACUCAAGAACAGAAGCCCAGACCCAACAAUUCCUAGAAAGAAGCCAAAAAUCUUACCCAGCAUCAUGGAUUUCUAGGAAGGAGGCCAGACACGCAAGUCACUCCUCUAAAGCAUUAAUUUUGCAUUGCAUGUAGAAGAUACAGACAAUAAUUGCCCAGAAACUAGGGGAAAGAAAACACCACCACAUUGGUGGCUCACUGAUCUCACUGCACCUUCCAGUGACCAUCCCAUCUCCCCCCAUCAUUCCUUUCCAAACUCCUCCCGUGAGUUUAUACCCGAUGCCUCCACUUUUCAUUCAUUCAUUCAAUUGUAUUUAUUGAGCACUUACUGUGUGCAGAGCACUGUACUAAGCGCUUGGGAAAGUACAAUACAGCAAUGAAGAGAGACAAUUCCUGCCCACAACAAGCUCACAGUCUACGGGGGGCAGAGACAGACAUCAAUAUAAAUAAAAUGACAGAUAUAUACAUAAGUGCUGUGGGGUGGGGUGAGAAGGGAAGAGCAAAGGAAGCAAGUCAGGGUGACGUAGAAGGGAGUGAGAGAUGAGGAAAAGUGGGGCUUAAUUCGGGAAGGCCUCCUGGAGGAGAAGUGCCUUCAGUAAGGCUUUGAAGGGGGAUUGUCUGGUGGAUCUGAGGAGGGAGGGUGUUCCAGGCCAGAGGCAGGACAUGGGUCAGGGGUUGGUUACGAGACAGGUGAGAUGAAGGCCCAGUGAGAAGGUUAGCACCAGAGGAACGAAAUGUGUGGGCUGGGAUGUAGAAGGAGAGAAGUGAGGUGAGGUAGGAAAGGAUAGGUAGGAGCCACAUACAUGCUGUCAUUAUAGUUCGGGGCCCAAAAGAGACAUUCCAUCCAUUCAAGUUUCCUCUGGUGAAAUGGGGAUAAGAUAGAUUGUGUGCCUCAGGGGGGAAAGGGCUCCAUUUCAUAACCUGGUACCCAACCCAGCAUUUCACACACAGUAAGUGGUUAAUGAAUUUAAUAGUUGUAAUUAUAUUUGUUAAGCACCUCCUGUGAACAGAACACUGUACCAAGCACUGGGAAAGAAUAUACAGGUGGGAAUUAAACACUGUCCUUGGCCCUCAGAGGGUUCACAAUCAAAAUAUAAAAAGGAGGAAAGAGGACUGGUGACAAGUACAUAAGGUAAGAUGAAACAAAACACUAAGACAACAUAGGGAAGAAACCAAAGAUCAGUAGGGUGUUGUGGCAGGAGGAGCAGAAUUUCAGGCUCCUUGCUGUUCGAAGUGACCAUCACAACUGUGGCCAUAGGGACUGCUACAGCAGCAGGCGCCACAGCCUUCCAGAGGUUUUGUCGGGCAGUUCCAGGCUGCUGCUGCUGCUUCCCUCUGUCCCGCCGGGGUGGUGGAAGGUGAGUUGAGAUGGAAGUUCAUUGAUGAUGCAAGAGGAGAAUUGGUGUGGGACCCAGGGAGGCAGCAUGGGGGUCAGCAUGGCAGCACCAAGAUGGUACUGUUGUGCAUAAGCCAUUCAGUGUUGGAUUUUAGAGCCCAGAAAGUUUCGCGUGAGAGAUAGUGAGAAAGGGAGAGCUAUUUGUACACAGUUAAAUCAUCUAGUAAAGAAACUCAUGACUUCUGAUUAAAUUCAAUACGCAGUGAUGAGCUUGACUCGAAGUGAAGUCAUACAGCCUAAUACUUGAGUGAAGUGAAGUCAGAAUUUGAGUUAGAAAAAAUGACUAUCUAAAUUUAGAUCAACGACAAGCACCUACGGAUUUAAGGUCGAUCGUAAAUGCUCCUUAUUACUUGAAAAGUUUUGUAAAAGCGGGACUUGUUCCUGAGAGCAAGAAGACAACAUUUAAAAGAGGAUCUCCAGAAGGCUAAAAUAUUUUUAAAUACUGCAAGAAAAAAAGCCAUUCUUUAAA
rnacentral:lncRNA from 1 species